CUUGCUUUCUUUGCUGGCGACCGGCGCACGGGUGAGUAACACGUAUCCAACCUGCCCUUUACUCGGGGAUAGCCUUUCGAAAGAAAGAUUAAUACCCGAUAGCAUAAUGAUUCCGCAUGGUUUCAUUAUUAAAGGAUUCCGGUAAAGGAUGGGGAUGCGUUCCAUUAGGUUGUUGGUGAGGUAACGGCCCACCAAGCCUUCGAUGGAUAGGGGUUCUGAGAGGAAGGUCCCCCACAUUGGAACUGAGACACGGUCCAAACUCCUACGGGAGGCAGCAUG
rnacentral:rRNA from 1 species